rnacentral:lncRNA from 1 species
UGGUCAAAAACAUAUGCAAAAAUACUCAGGAUAUUUAUCCGAUUUGAUUCAGUGUAAAGAAAGUGUGAAUCAUAAUUUAAAAGGGUGAAGGUCGAAGGUACCUACUAGGAGAAAGAUAAUUUUGGAACUGAUAAGCUUCAGUUGGUGUUGAUAAUACCCAUAUUACCUCAUUAAUGGGCGAUUGAUAUCCUAAGGGCGCCUGUGGGUAUCUAUUUUGAUUACUGAAAGUUAUGAAUUAUCUUUACUUAUUUCUGAUAUUUGUCAAAAGAGCAGCCACCUGGAUGGAUAACAACUUGAAUGAUGCAAGAAUUUACAAAGUGAGUAUCAUGCUUUUAAUAGGUUGAAAUUUCAUUGAUACAGUGCAAAAUAUCGUAUUAAAUAUAAUAAGCAAGUGCAAAUCUGUGCGGUUAAUACUUUUUGUGUAGGAACAUUUCUGAGAGAGAGAAAAUAUUAAAUUUAGCAUCUACUAACUCAAUGAUGAUUGUAGUUAAGCACUUUAAUCAGUCAAGGUGUAAGUACAUGAGCUUGGCAUUACGGUUAGGAAAAUAAAAUUAUCUUUCAAAUUAGCCAUGUAUUCUUACUCAGAGGCAAAAAAUGAAAAAACGUAAUUUCAGAAGAGGCAAGACGCAACUACACAGCUGAGCUGAUAAGGAGGGGAUCAUGGCAAACUUCAUUCAAUUUGGAGAGGGACUCCGCAGAAUCAUGGAGCGGUGUAACCAUAUUUUAUUCAAUUUUUAAUCACAAGAUAGUGGGGGCAGGCAGUAAUAGUAAAUAUUUUUCAACUUAUCGGUUGACUUCUUUGCAUGAAGCAAACUCUCAGCUAUCUUUUAUCAGGAAUGUUGAAACCUGGCUCAUGAUAACACACUCGAAGGUUGAACGAGGUGAGCAGUGAACUUCUGUAAAACUCUCAAGUGCAUUGUUCCUUCAAACAUGUUGCGGAUUGGAUUUAUUGGAGGUGGGAAAAUGGCCCAGGCCAUGGCCAAAGGAUUCGUAUCAGCAGGACUGACCAAAAAUGAAAUAUUCUGGCAAGUUGAUUUCCACAAGACCACAGUGACCUUUAAAGGGGGCCUAAAGGUAACUGCAAAAACUAGAAACCUUAAUUUGACAAAAAUAUCUUACUUACCUUCAUGUACAGGGUGCAAUUUAAAAAAAGUGCAUAGAAGAAAAAAAUUGAUAUGAUGCUGACCUUAGCAACUUAUUUCUCCGAUGGAAUAAAAAUUUUACCAGAAAUUUUGGGUAAAAAUGAAAAGUGAGAAGUAUAUUAAGUACCACUUUGACCUAAAUGGUACAGCAAAGCAAACUCAUAUAGAUGAUUGAUAUGGGUCGUUCCUACAAUGCAAUCAGGUAUUUGAUAAAGUAGGAAAAAAUUUUUUUUCAUUUCACUAGGAAAAUUGAUAGGCUUGGUACCUAGCAAUGACAAAAAAGUCCGAUGAGAAAUUCCUUUUUCUGUAAAACAUUUAGAAAGAGGGACGAGUAAAUUAUGUAAAAUUUUAACUAAGUAUGGUUCAGUUCAGAACAAAAAAAAAGUUGGGUCAAAGUUAUUGGAUUUUAAAACCGUUCCUGACUUAGGUACUCUAGCUGAUUGUUUUAAAUUUAUUUCUUUUGCAUUAGGAGCUGGGUAUACCAACCACAUUCGACAACAAAGAUGUGGUCAAGCAGUCGGAAAUUAUUUUUCUUGCCACAAAACCGCUGGUGAUUCCAACGGUUUUACAGGAUGUUAAAUCAGUGGUGACACAAAAAAUUUGUUCCGUUUUUGCCAGGGCGUAACUUAAAAACUCUUGAGCAGGAAAGUGCUUUAUCCAUUAUUACGCAAAACACUAUAUUUAAGUAGCAAUCUUUCUUAAAAGAAAAUGCAAAAUGGGAAAAAUAUCCAUCGACAGGAAGUUUGACGUAGUCGAUUGGAAUAGGUAUCAUAAGAAGCAGAAAAAAACAUUAGAUAGGUGUCAACUUACACUAACUUUGUGGAAUAAAUAAUACUAAUGUGACUGACCAAAAACUAGACCGAUUAUCAGAGUCAUGCCAACACACCAGCCUGUGAGGGAAGGAUCUGUAUUCGGCAGGGUCGUCGUCAGGAUGACGAUGCAGAAUAGCAAAAAAUGAUGCUGCCAUCGUCAUGUGAGGAGGUCAAGGAGUAUGACUUGAUCCAGUGACAGCAUUAAGUGGAUCUGGUCCAGCAUAUGUAAGAUUCAACAUUAAGCUUCAAGUCACAAAAAUUGUCAGAGACCAACCUCCAUCAGGAAGAUAAGAUUAUCCAUAUUCCAAGUGCUUUUCUGACUUCUUCUAAAAAUAAGAAAAGAAUAAGAUAUCCAAUUAUUCUACUAUCAGUCAACUUCUUUCGAUUUGAUAAUUUAAUAAAUUUACGUUUGUUCUCCGUUAUAUCAAAAUGAUUUUUGUAACAGCCGAAUGUAAAGAAAAACAAACGGUCUUGUGAACGACAAUACACACAAUUUGCUCUCACUUCCUCUCCGUCUCUAAAGUUGCUUAUGAUCCAACAACACAGUUGGAUCAUUAUUGCAGUGGCACAAAAAUUUGGAAAUGAUUUUCCCUGACUUUUCCAGGUUUUCCCUGACGAAAAAUGGAGAAAUUCCCUGACUUUUGAGAACGCGCGCCAUGAUCGCACAGCCAAAUUUACACCUUGCUAGCUACCAUCGCACUAAUAGAGCGUCUCGUUUGAAACGCGUUUCAGCUAAGGAGUCAGAAAUUAAUGUAGAACAUUUGGAAAUACAAAAGGGUUGUUAACUUUUUCUUUUAAUUUGAUGCUUUAAGCAACUCGUGAAAAUUGUCAAAUUUUUCCCUGACUUUAGCUGUUUUUGGUCAAAUUCCCUGACUUUUCCAGGUUUCCAGAGCACUUUUUUUUCCCCUGACUUUUCAGGUUUUCCCUGAAUUCCCUGACUGUGGCAACCCUGUUAUUGGGAUUUACUCUUGGAAUGGUAAUUAAUAUAGUUAGUCAAUAUUUGUGAACACUUCGUAAGAGCGACUUUCCUCGAGUGGAGUAGCAUAAUGACCUUCAUGGUUGAUUUUAAUGGA